rnacentral:rRNA from 1 species
CGGUUAAAAAGCUCGUAGUUGGAUCUCAGCUCACGCUAAGUGGUCCACUUAAUGGUGGUUACUACUUAGCUGAGCAUUUUACAGAUUUGUCUCUUGAUGCUCUUCACCGAGUGUCAAGAGUGGUCUGUACGUUUACUUUGAAAAAAUUAGAGUGCUUAAAGCAGGCAACUCGCCCGAAUAAUCUUGCAUGGAAUAAUGGAAUAGGACCUUGGUUCUAUUUUGUUGGUCUCCGGAAUCUGAGGUAAUGAUUAAGAGGGACAGACGGGGGCAUUCGUAUUGCGCCGCUAGAGGUGAAAUUCUUGGACCGGCGCAAGACGAACUACAGCGAAAGCAUUUGCCAAGAAUGUUUUCAUUAAUCAAGAACGAAAGUUAGAGGUUCGAAGGCGAUCAGAUACCGCCCUAGUU